UACGGAGGGUGCAAGCGUUAUCCGGAUUCACUGGGUUUAAAGGGUGCGUAGGUGGGCUGGUAAGUCAGUGGUGAAAUCUCCAGGCUUAACUUGGAAACUGCCAUUGAUACUAUCAGUCUUGAAUACCGUGGAGGUCAGCGGAAUAUGUCAUGUAGCGGUGAAAUGCUUAGAUAUGACAUAGAGCACCAAUUGCGAAGGCAGCUGGCUACACGAAUAUUGACACUGAUGCACGAAAGCGUGGGGAUCAAACAGG
rnacentral:rRNA from 1 species